UGAGCCAAGUUUAGGGUUUUCUCAAAACCCAAGCAGUAUUGAACUGAAGAGUUUGAUCAUGGCUCAGAUUGAACGCUGGCGGCAGGCCUAACACAUGCAAGUCGAGCGGAUGAAGGGAGCUUGCUCCUGGAUUCAGCGGCGGACGGGUGAGUAAUGCCUAGGAAUCUGCCUGG
rnacentral:rRNA from 1 species